UAGGGAAUUUUGCGCAAUGGGGGCAACCCUGACGCAGCAACGCCGCGUGACCGAUGAAGCCCUUCGGGGUGUAAAGGUCUGUCAGUGGGGACGAACGAUGACGGUACCCACAGAGGAAGCACCGGCUAACUCCGUGCCAGCAGCCGCGGUAAUACGGGGGGUGCAAGCGUUGUCCGGAAUCAUUGGGCGUAAAGAGUUCGUAGGUGGUAUGUUAAGUCUGGUGUUAAAUGCAGAAGCUCAACUUCUGUUCGGCACUGGAUACUGGCAAACUAGAAUGCGGUAGAGGUAAAGGGAAUUCCUGGUGUAGCGGUGAAAUGCGUAGAUAUCAGGAGGAACAUCGGAGGCGUAAGCGCUUUACUGGGCCGUAAUUGACACUGAGGAACGAAAGCCGGGGUAGCAAAUAGGAUUAGAUACC
rnacentral:rRNA from 1 species